AUAAAAGCAGUGGUCUAUUUCUUACACGAGCAGUCCUCCCGUAAUCUUCAGGAACAUGAAAACCAUUAUUUUUGGGUGAACCUUUAUUCUUUGUUCAUGACUAAAGGUUCAGUAAAUAAUGUAAUAUUU